UACGAAGGGGGCUAGCGUUGCUCGGAAUCACUGGGCGUAAAGCGCACGUAGGCGGCUUUUUAAGUCAGGGGUGAAAUCCUGGAGCUCAACUCCAGAACUGCCUUUGAUACUGAGAAGCUUGAGUCCGGGAGAGGUGAGUGGAACUGCGAGUGUAGAGGUGAAAUUCGUAGAUAUUCGCAAGAGCACCAGUGGCGAAGGCGGCUCACUGGCCCGGUACUGACGCUGAGGUGCGAAAGCGUGGGGAGCAAACAGG
rnacentral:rRNA from 1 species